rnacentral:lncRNA from 1 species
UGGGCUCCAGAGAAAGCUUCAGACCGAGUCCUUGCCCUCCAGCCUGUCGCAGGCUGCACAGUGGGGCGCCUCCUCCUCUCGCUUUUGGACUCCAGCCAGGCAGAUUGGGGCUUCAGCCUUGUUCUCCACUACAGCAGAGAACAGCCUGAGGGCUACUGUUGGGCUCCUGGAGUCUCCCACCUGACUGCCAGAGUCCCCACUGCCUCUCCAUGAUCUCACAAGGCAGCAGUGUAAAAGGCUGCCAUGCUUUAAUACCCCCCAGCCUGGAGAGGGGGUCCCAUAUCCCUGACCACCCCUCUUUAGUAUGCCUACUUAGCAAAAUGUGGCUUCUUUCUCACUUUCUCUAUUGUAAUUUGACUCCCAGUACAGAGCAGGAGUUAGGACCCUCCAGGACUUGUGGGAGUCCUUUUGAAAGAAUGGCCCCCACGAACUCAAUUACACAGUGACUGGAGACACCUGUGGUCCUCAGGCAGCGGGCCUCUCCUUUUCUCUGCCUUUGCUCUCCGCGCCUUAGAAGUACCCUAUGGACCUCUGUGUUUGGCAUCGCAGAUCUCCCCAGAACCCUUUCAGUCAGACAGGGAUGGCACAGAAGUUGGAGCAAGGAAUGAGAAUCAUCCUCUGUGGGCAAGGUUGGCUUGGGAAUCACUCAUCCCAUGCCGCUUGACACUCUCGGGGACCAAAUGCACGAAGCAUGACAGACCUAGCUAGAUCCUCGUGGACAGGCUGGGCAGGCAUUUCGUGGUUGUGACCUCAACCUUUGUUCUUUCUAGAUGACAGGACUAACCACUGACCUUCAAAAGACUGCUUCUAGAAGGUUCCUAUUUUCCUGUCCUUCCAUCCAAAGAACCCACAAGCCAUUUUUCUCCCCCAAAUCAUUUUCUAAGGAGUCCAAAACACAACACCGCCUCAAGAGCUAUUCCACAUUCUCUGUCAGCCCGGAACUGCCUUAGACCUUUGCAUGUUCCCUGACAGCAGCCUGCCUACCUGAGUUGCAAGCCAGCCAGCAUGAACAGAUCCAGUUGGAUUAGUUCAGUCAAUAAGGGUGUUGUCAUACUCCUCCCAAUGUCCACAGAGUCCACAAUGAUUAAAUAAAGGCAAGCCAGGAAGCACACCAAGGACAGAGGUGGACACGUGCCAGCCAACACAGGAAUACAGGUGAGAGGAGCGUAGUGCUUGCCUGUGUGUUCAUCUUUCUCUCUGGCAAGUAUGUUACUAAAAUACACAUAUAAAAAGGAUGAAUGGUCUGCCAAAAUUUUCAUUAUCACCGUGGAAUAUGUUUUAUGUUCUCAGCUAACAUUUACAUUUUUAUUGAAUCAGACACUUUUCUUUGCUGUGGCAAAAAUCACUGAGACAUCUUUAAGGGAAGGAUUGAUUUAGGGGCAUGAAUUUAGAAAUCUGGUUCACGGUCACUUAGCACUGUGCAUGGUUCAAUAGAAAGGAGAGGAGAAGGAAGUGGCUCACAAUGAUAGACAAGUGGAGAGAUCGGGUAGGAGUGGAGAGAUGGGAAUGGAUUUGGG